GACGAACCGUGCGAACGUUAUUCGGAAUCACUGGGCUUAAAGGGCGCGUAGGCGGCUCGGUAAGUCGGGUGUGAAACCUCCAGGCUCAACCUGGAGACGCCACCCGAUACUGCCGUGGCUAGAGUCCGGUAGAGGAGCGUAGAAUUCCUGGUGUAGCGGUGAAAUGCGCAGAUAUCAGGAGGAAUACCAGCGGCGAAGGCGGCGCUCUGGGCCGGUACUGACGCUGAGGAGCGAAAGCGUGGGGAGCAAACAGG
rnacentral:rRNA from 1 species